AUUGAACGCUGGCGGCAGGCCUAACACAUGCAAGUCGAACGAGCGGCGGACGGGUGAGUAAUGUCUGGGAAACUGCCCGAUGGAGGGGGAUAACUACUGGAAACGGUAGCUAAUACCGCAUACCCUCGGAUGUGCCCAGAUGGGAUUAGCUAGUAGGUGGGGUAAAGGCUCACCUAGGCGACGAUCCCUAGCUGGUCUGAGAGGAUGACCAGCCACCCGGGAACUGAGACACGGUCCAGACUCCUACGGGAGGCAGCAGUGGGGAAUAUUGCACAAUGGGCGCAAGCCUGAUGCAGCCAUGCCGCGUGUGUGAAGAAGGCCUUCGGGUUGUAAAGCACUUUCAGCGGGGAGGCGUUACCCGCAGAAGAAGCACCGGCUAACUCCGUGCCAGCCGCCGCGGUAAUAC
rnacentral:rRNA from 1 species